rnacentral:lncRNA from 1 species
GCGGCUUCUGCCAAGGCCGGCGCGCCUGCGCGCUCCUGCGUGUGCCUUUGGAGCUCGUACAGGCGGCUUCCCCGGCUCUCCGGUGGUGGGAGGACAGGGUUCUGCGGUGCCCUUUGUCGACCCCGCUGUGCAGGGCAGGGAAGGUCAGGAUCGCGAAGAGCCAAGUUCGAGCUCCGAUAACUCUCCGUGCCCUUAGAGGGUGGGGCGGGGAGGCGUGACUGCCCUUGAUGAUGGUGAGGGGAGAGAGGGAGCGCUGCACCUCUGGGGAAAACAAGUCAGCUCUGUCGUGGAGCUAGUGCACGCGUUCAGAGCGCCUUUUGCAAUUAUUCUGCCUCCAAACUGCCUGGAAUCCAGCCCGUCCUUCCUAUCGCACUGCUACAGCCCUAGACUACCUUUUGUCCCACCCUGUGCAAGUGUCUCUUCCCUGGGCUUGCCUCGCCUAUUCUCAGUGCUGCGGACCUGAUGAAUUACUGUCCGUUCUCUGCUGAGAAGCCCAGACAGCAUCUCGUCUUUGAGAUUCCACUUCCUUCACAUGGAGUCGUGUCCCCCGCCCCCCCCACCCCAAAGCCGCCUGGGUUCCAGUUAGCCUUGCCGAAGACUUGCUCUGCUUGGCAUGCCCUUCCUCUCAAUGUUUUAUCUUCUAUGAAGCUUCACCCUCAAACCCUCACAUAGAUCCUCAACGUUCCUAAGCUAACCACCUCCAAGUUUAAAAGUCAUUGGUUAUGCUCCUAAUGUUGGUCUGUGGUUCUGAAAAUGAAGACAGGAGACUUGCUGACGACGUAUUGGCAGCCUCUGGUGCUCCUAGCCAAGAAAAGGUGGGGGUGGAGGGUAGAGAGGGAAAGGAAUUAUGGGAAAAAUAAUUAGCAGCUGAAAGCAGCUAUUACAUAAUCUUGGCUGCUUAUUAAUUUAGAAGAAGGAAUGGCUUAUUAAAUUCUAAUAGCAGCACAACUGCAAACAACCUAGCAAUUAACAAUGCAGGGCCCAUUAUUUUGUUAAUAUGUUCCUUUUUUUUGGCAAGUGUAUAAGAACAGAAUUUAUAGAAGCAGAUGGUCUUUUUCAGUAGAUUAUAGAUGGCUUUUCC